rnacentral:misc_RNA from 1 species
GGAGCUGCCUCUCGUACUGCAACUGCUCCACUUGAUCGCUUGAAGGUGUUUUUGCAAGUUCAGACAACACAUGCUCGUUUUGUUUCUGCUGUAAAGAAGAUUUGGAAACAAGAUGGCUUAUUGGGUUUCUUUCGAGGUAAUGGAAUAAAUAUUGUGAAGGUAGCACCAGAAAGCGCUAUUAAGUUUUAUUCUUAUGAAUUGUUGAAGAACGUCAUUGGGGAUUUUAAGGGGGGAGACAAAGAUGUUAUAGGUCCUGCUGAGAGACUUUUGGCCGGUGGAAUGGCUGGUGCAGUGGCACAAACUGCUAUCUAUCCAUUAGAUCUUGUGAAAACUCGAUUGCAAGUUUGUGAAGGUGGAAAUGCUCCGAAGCUGGGAGCUCUAACAAAGAAUAUAUGGGUUCAGGAAGGACCACGAGCCUUUUAUAAAGGCCUUGUGCCAUCUCUUCUUGG